rnacentral:rRNA from 1 species
GCUAGUGUCUAAAAACUUAGUUUAAACUAACUUAAAGGUGAAGAGGCCUUUAUAAGAAAGAAGGACGACAAGACCCUAUGAAGCUUUAUCUUAUUAGGGAUUUGAAAGAUCCUUAUACGAUUUUGAUGGGAGAUCAGUAAAAAUAAGUCUUUUACCAUUAUUUUUAUCUUACAAGUGUUUCCUAAUUUUAUAUGUGUGACUAGCUACUCUAGGGAUAACAGCGCAAUUUCUCCCGAAAGAUGGUAUUGGAGGGGAAGAUUGCGACCUCGAUGUUGGC